GCGGUGCGCGCUACCAUGCAGUCGAGCGGUAGAGAGAAGCUUGCUUCUCUUGAGAGCGGCGGACGGGUGAGUAAUGCCUAGGAAUCUGCCUGGUAGUGGGGGAUAACGUUCGGAAACGGACGCUAAUACCGCAUACGUCCUACGGGAGAAAGCAGGGGACCUUCGGGCCUUGCGCUAUCAGAUGAGCCUAGGUCGGAUUAGCUAGUUGGUGAGGUAAUGGCUCACCAAGGCGACGAUCCGUAACUGGUCUGAGAGGAUGAUCAGUCACACUGGAACUGAGACACGGUCCAGACUCCUACGGGAGGCAGCAGUGGGGAAUAUUGGACAAUGGGCGAAAGCCUGAUCCAGCCAUGCCGCGUGUGUGAAGAAGGUCUUCGGAUUGUAAAGCACUUUAAGUUGGGAGGAAGGGCAGUUACCUAAUACGUGAUUGUUUUGACGUUACCGACAGAAUAAGCACCGGCUAACUCUGUGCCAGCAGCCGCGGUAAUACAGAGGGUGCAAGCGUUAAUCGGAAUUACUGGGCGUAAAGCGCGCGUAGGUGGUUAGUUAAGUUGGAUGUGAAAUCCCCGGGCUCAACCUGGGAACUGCAUUCAAAACUGA
rnacentral:rRNA from 1 species